rnacentral:misc_RNA from 1 species
UUUAGAAGAUGGAAACUUUGAUGCUUUGGUUGAUCCAAGGAUGCAAAACAACUACAACCACAAUGAGAUGGCUCGCAUGGUUGCCUGUGCUGCUGCUUGUGUUCGACAUUCUGCUAGGCGUCGACCACGAAUGAGUCAGGUAGUACGAGCGCUCGAAGGAGACACAUCACUAUCGGAUCUCAACGAAGGAGUCAAACCCGGGCAGAGCACAAUGUACAGUUCUCAUGGAAGCUCAGAUUAUGACACUCACCAGUACAACGAGGACUUGAGAAAGUUCAGGAAGAUGGCACUGGGAAGUACAGAAUAUGGAGCAAGCAGCGAAUACAGCGGACCAACGAGCGAGUACGGUCUGUAUCCUUCGGGAUCGAGCAGCGAAGGGCAAACCACCAGAGAAAUGGAGAUGAGAACAGCAAAGAAAGAAAGUGGAGGCUUCAGUGGACGCUCUUGAAACAAAG